CAGUAGCCACGGGAAUACGUAGGGUGCGAGCGUUAAUCGGAAUUACUGGGCGUAAAGCGUGCGCAGGCGGUUUUGUAAGACAGGCGUGAAAUCCCCGGGCUCAACCUGGGAAUGGCGCUUGUGACUGCAAAGCUAGAGUGCGGCAGAGGGGGAUGGAAUUCCGCGUGUAGCAGUGAAAUGCGUAGAUAUGCGGAGGAACACCGAUGGCGAAGGCAAUCCCCUGGGCCUGCACUGACGCUCAUGCACGAAAGCGUGGGGAGCGAACAGGAUUAGAUACCCCUGUAGUCCCUGUCUCUUAUAC
rnacentral:rRNA from 1 species